rnacentral:lncRNA from 1 species
GUGGAGUUUAAAACGUGAGAGAGUGAUACAGGGGUUCUUGGAGCUAAAAACAUUCUAUAACAACAGUGUUGAUGGAAGCUAUUAAGCUCUUAUCUUACAGGCCACAGGAUAGAGAAACAGAAAAUACAGAGCUGGAGGCCAUAUGCUUAAAGGCUGAAAUGCAGCUGAAGGUUAAAAGAUAACAAGGACACAGAAUGACCUGAACUAAGAGCCGACUGUGCAGGAUAGAUGUGCGGAUGAGAGCUGGUUACUCAGAGAACGUUCCUGAAAGAGAGUUGAUACACAUUUGAAGGAGACCUAAUAUUUACUGAGUGCUUAUGAAGUAAUGGACUUUGGGCCCUUUGCCUGCUUUUCCUCAUGGAUUGAAAGGUAGAUUCUUGAUAAGAUAACGCACAUGGGAAAGAAUUAUUGGUAUCAUAGAAGCUGGUUGUAUAGUGCAUUUGCCAGGAGUGUGGAAAUCAAAAUGAAGAUGCCAGAUGACUCCAAAAGGCCAAAUAAGGACUUCAGGUGUAAGGAGGAACCACAAACCAUUUUUUUUUUUUUUGGUACAGAAUUCUUUGUCCCCAACCAUGGGGCUUAAGAGAAAGAUGUCCUAUAUUGAGGAAAGCAAUGUGAUUACUAAACACAUUCAAGCAUUAUGCUACAGACUAUAGUCUAGAGGAGGCAAAACCAAGGUUGCAUACCAAGGUUCCAGCUUCCAGGGCAAGCUGGAAGAAUGAUUGCCAUGGAGAAGAGCUUUGGCAUAAUGUAAGGACAGAUCUUGUUAUGGAAAGAAAGUAGGAUUUGAGUAUUAAACUUGAAAAGACUGUAAGGCAGAGAUCUUUGCUACAGAAAAUGAGCAAGCUGAGAAGUGCCCAGUGGGAGCUACUCGGAUGUAUCUAUUUGGGUUUCUGGUUUUGAAGGGCUACAGUCCACCAGUCCACCAUGGCAGAGAACUCAUGGUGAUAGGACCAUGAGGCAUCUGGUCACACUGCAUCUGUAGUUAGGAAGCAGAGAGUGAGCAGAAAGUACCCCAGACCAUCAAACUUCAAGACUCACUCCCAGUGGCCCACCUUUUCCACCAAGGGUAUAUCUCUUGACAGUUCUAGAAUCUUCCAAAACAGCUAAGGACGAACUUCAAAUACAUGAACCUCUGGGGGACAUUUUACAUUCAAAGCAUGACAACACAGCCUACUUCCCCCAACACACAUGAUUUCUUCUCACCUAAUGGACCAUGAGAUAAAGCAAAGUCAGACAGCCCACAAGUACUAACUUCCAAAUGACUUCAGUAUUCCUUGAGUUUGUUCUCUGUAAUGGUGUAUGAGCUUUCUGUUACAUGAAGCCAGGGUUUCCAGCUCCUUUCUUAUGUAAGAAGAGAAGUCUAUUAGCUAUAGCACAAACUAAAUGUCCAUGGAGAUAGUUUCCCAAACCAUUCCACUAUAAUAACUAUUCCUUUAUUUUAUGCACAGCAGACACGAUGCUGAGGGAGACGACACAAAGUUUUAGCCUUCUGCAAUCUUAGAAAAACCAUCAAACUCUCUGAGACUUGAUUUCUCUGUAAAACGAGUGACUAGAUUAGGUAACAUACAAUUCAGCUCUAAUAUCCUACGGAGUUUAUAUCAUGUAGUUAGUCUUAAUGAUGCCUUUAAGGAACAGUGUUGCUGCUUUUAUGAGUGUAGGCUACUUCUUGUUAUGAAUAAGCAUAUUCUUGAAAUGUCAGCUUGUGUCCAGGGCCAUCAGACGCUGCAGUCUCUUUUGAUAAAUCUCUAAUGAAAACCCCAAAACUCCUGGGGCUCAAAUAAACCAAUGAAUUCUUAAAUUAUGCUCUCUUCUAUCAUGACAUUACAAAUAGAGUUUAGAGGAAGACUGUUCAGUUCACAGGAGUUAGGUCAUAGGAGUUAGACUGACUAUAAGUGUGGUCCUGAGACUAUAGCAUCUCCUUUACAACACUGCUUCAAGCCUACCCUACCAGUCUUCAUUGUUCCACUCACCCCAGACCUGGAUAGCUGGCCCACUGCUCUUCAUGCUGCCUUUGACACAAAUGGCUCUGCUUCGCCUGCCACCUGCACUCUUGCCAAGCCAUUUUCUAUGGGAGGCACUAACUCUGCCUCUUCCCCACUGUCAUCAGCACUCUAUCCUGCUCUCUGCAGAACCUGGUCACUGUUUCCCCUGCUGAAUCCUGCCCAUAGAUUCAAAUGCUCCUGAUUCCACAUCCCUACAGGCUAGGUAGGUACCAGCCCUCUCUACUCUGGCCAUUAUGACUCUAUAGAAUUGUCAUAGAUACCCAUCUCCAAUGUGGCUCCUGAUAUAAGAAUUGUUCUGCCAUGGAUGCCAACUGAUUAUCACUCUGUUCACCUUAGCACUAUCUUGUAGAGAGCCUCACUGAUAGACACUAAGCCAUGAUUGUCACCUGUAACAGUAACAUCUAUCCCUGAAGUUCUUACCAAUGAAAUCAAUUCUCUCUUCCAAAUAUUGUACCUAUUUCUCCAACAGGAAAUAUUUUUGCCUUUUUAAUGAUCUGCCUCUAUUCUUCAAUGGAGUUAGAGAAAUGCAGAGAGGUUAAUGUGCAUUAGAAAACAUGCAUUGUGUGACAGAAUUUGCCAGGGUUCCUGGGCCCUGCCCUUGCUGCAAUAUUCUGAUCGUCUUCAUUCUUUUGUUUCUGUUUCCCGAAACAGAUCUCAGAGUAUAACUGGGCUUGUCUCCAACUCACAGUGGUUGUUCUAUUGGUGUCUCUUGAGUGUUGUCUCCUAUACAAGUACCAUCACCCAAUUCAGAGGAAUAAUUGUAUGUGUGUGUGUGUGUGUGUGUGUGUGUGUGUGUGUGUGUGUGUGCGCGCCGCAUGUGUGCGUCCUUGUACAUGUGAAAGCCCAAGGUUGACAUACCAAGUGUUCCUCAACUACUCUGCACCUUAUGCAUUGAGGCUCGGUCUCUUAAUUGAACCCAGAGCUCACUAUGUAGGCUACUCUAGCUAGGAGUUUCCUUUAUUCUAGCUAGGAGUUUCUGGGAGCCUUUCCCUUGGCCUUCUGAGUGCUUGAAUUAUAGGUGGGCAGCUAGGCCUUCCUGGCUUUUAUCUGGGUUCUGUUAGUCCAAACUCUAGUACUCAUGGAUGCACAGCAAACACUUUAUCCAUUGAGCGGGAAUUCUUGGUCCCUAAAACCUGCUUUCUAUGUAGAGAUUUAUCGCCUCAUCUGUCUCUGUGGAAAGACAAGGACUCAGGAAAAGAAUGAAAGGCAUCUGUUGCUAAUCCUUUCUCUUGGGUUUCUCUGGAGAAAACGUCUUAGGCAAAUGGUCUUCCUGGAUUCUUGGAAUAAGCAUGUAAAAUAGACUCCCACAAAGGCAGUGCACACACCAUAUUAUGCACACAAUAGGAAAGCAGGAUGCACUGCCAAUUCUCAGCUAUGCGCUUAGGCAACACCUGUCUGCACACAGGGACAAGUAUGAUCAACAUGUAGAAUAGCCUUGGGUUCUAACAAAGAAAUAGCAAAGUCAAGGCCCAAGGGAACCAAAUCCAAUGCAUUCCUUUCUCCUGGGCAUUGUUUUCUGUGAUCCGAAGCUCUCUGGUUGCAUAGCUGUCUAAACACAUUCUGACAUGAAAGGGAAGUACCCUGAGCUCCCAGAGUGGUCAUGUUUGUUUAUGCUCCACCGCUGGCUUGUGCCUACACAGUCACAUCCUGGCAGUCCCUGUCUAAGAUGCUGUUACAGAAAUCCACAUUUCCUUU